UACGUAGGGGGCGAGCGUUGUCCGGAGUUACUGGGCGUAAAGGGCAUGCAGGCGGUCGGACGCGUUUUGUGUGACAGCGGGUGGCUCAACUGCCCGAGCAUACGAAAGACGGUUUGACUUGAGGGCUCGAGAGGGACACGGAAUUCCGGGUGGAGUGGUGAAAUGCGUAGAGAUCCGGAGGAACACCGAAGGCGAAGGCAGUGUCCUGGCGAGUGACUGACGCUGAGGUGCGAAAGCCAGGGGAGCGAACGGG
rnacentral:rRNA from 1 species